rnacentral:sRNA from 1 species
GCAGACUCCUGUGAUCUGUUCUCCAGGUUUACUUCAUCUCUUCAUCAAGAAAAGGCAAGAACCAAGAGACACGUCAGCAUCUCUGGCUUGGAACCUUAAACUUUAAAGUCAUGUGGAACCUGGAAGAAUCCCCUCAUCUAAUUCAGACUCAUUUCGAAUGAAGAGGCAUGAACCCCACAGGGGGAAAAUACCUUGCUAAAGCCACCCAGCUAAUUUUUGGCAGAACCUGACACAGAUGCCAGAAGCAGGUUGUAGUCACCGAGUCAGCCAUAACUGAGUGUCUCGGACCUGAAGUCAGCAGUUGAGGGCUCCAGUCACUGUGCAUCAAAUAGCUGGGAGACCCUGGGCAAGUCAGUCGGUCUCUCUGGGCCUUGUCUUUUGUCUGAAUCAUCAGGGACUGGCUGAAGUAUGGAGGCCGACCUGACCCUCAAAGGAUGUGAUAGGCCAGGUUCUGCCUGAAGCAACAACUACAGCA